AUGUUGCCUUAUCGGCUCGCUUGUCAGGACUGUGGUGUGAAGUUUGACACCAUCCGCCGCUUCAAGCAGCAUGUCCGCAGGAAGCAACAUCAACAGCAAGUGGCAGAGCUCUUCCAGACAGAUGAGUACCACGGUCAAGUCUACUUUGCCCCUUUCUUGGUUCUGGAGCAUCUGGCCAGGAAACCCACAAACACCCCAUAUCCCAUCAUCGGUCUGUGCCUGGUGACAUUGUGUGUGAGUCCAGAGGGGAGGGAUACUUUCUACCUUUGUCACAGUUGUGAGGAGAAGUGUGGCCCAGGACAGAUCAUAGACCACCUCCUCUCUGCUGACCACCUCUCCAACUACUAUAGCUACACAGACCCUGAUGUGUUGAGUUUCUCCUGGAUGCCUAACAUGGAUAUGUUGAACCUCCUACGGCCGCUAGCUGUCAAAGAGAUGGACAAGAAUGGACCUGGAGUGCUACGGGUGCUGGACAUGCCUAAGAGUGUGUCUGUGAAGUUGAAGACAAGUGGCUACUCUAAAGUCAUGCAGGCCCUGACUCAGACUGACAGGCUGGCUGAGUGUAUCAGAGCUGACAGACCAGAAAGGAUGACUAUACAAGAGUACCACAGAGACCCCAACAGGAAACACCCUCUGCUGGGUCUACAGCACCUGGUGGAGUACUGCUGUGAAGGGCAUGGCCAAAGGAGAUCCUACCUCUGUCAGCUCUGCCGCCUCCCUGUCCCCUCACGGAGGGUCAUCCAACACACACUCGGCUUCGACCACCUCUACUGGUACUUCAAGGUGUUUCACCCCUCCACCCUCCUGAUGAAGGACUGUUAUAAAGAGUACAGCUGCAGGUUCAUCGCCAUGAUCCUGGACCUGGCCAAUCAGGUGCAAGACAUCAGUCAGUCAGCCAAUAUGGAGAUACAGCAAGUUGUGUUGGAACCAGCAGUGUUCUCCUCAGUUGAGUUUUCUGUUUACACAGAGGCUCUGAGGAAGUUGCAGACCAUUAGGAGAGCUCGUAAGGAGGGCAGCCUUAAGACCAGCAUUAUACCUGGACACAAACUGGUUCCUUCCUCAGAAGGGUCAAAGAUUACCAAAGAUGUUACCAUGACUAACGUUGCUGAGGCUGUUCCUAUGGAGACCAAGUCAAGCCCAGAGAAGACCGAUGUCACACCUACAGCUGUUGAGACUGUAGCUACAGCAAGUACUGCUCCAGUUGUUACCAAAGCUACUAGCCAGAGGGGGACCUGUCGACUGCACUGUCAGGACUGCAACGUGGUAUGUGAGUCUGUGUCGCAUUACAAGUUACAUGUGCGUCACUGGAAACACAAGGAGAUGCUAGGAGUUAUCUUUGAACCAGGGGACGAGGACAGUAAAGCCUGCAUCCCAUCCUUUACCUUGUAUGAGUACAUCCGGAACUCAGAAAGAACUGAACCAAUUAUUGGUGUCUAUCUGUUGGUGAUGUGUUUGAGUACUGAGUGUUGGAAAACGCCCUUCUACCUGUGUCACACCUGUCAGGAGAUAAUCCCUGCCAAUCUCGUCAUGACUCACCUCACCUCCACACUCCACCUUCGACGCACCCUGAUGUACCAGAGUCCGCAGUGUCUGCCAUUUGGGUGGGGGACAGAAAUGGGCCUGGAGGUCCUGAAGACUUUGGCCUGGGAGGAGGAGAGAGUCCGAGGAGAGAGAGACAAUGUACUGAAGGUAGGGAAGGAUGGGGGGAGAAGGGGAAGGAUGGGGGGAGAAGGGGAAGUUGCUCUGGAGAUGUGA
ensembl:lncRNA